CCUACGGGUGGCAGCAGUGAGGAAUAUUGGUCAAUGGGCGGAAGCCUGAACCAGCCAGGUCGCGUGAGGGAAUAAGGCCCUACGGGUUGUAAACCUCUUUUGCCGGGGAGCAAGGGCGGGGACGUGUCCCGGCCCGGAGGGUACCCGGAGAAAAAGCAUCGGCAAACUCCGUGCCAUCGGCCGCGGUAAUACGGAGGAUGCGAGCGUUAUCCGGAUUUAUUGGGUUUAAGGGGUGCGUAGGCGGGCGUUGAAGUCAGCGGUAAAAAUUCGGGGCGCAACCCCGUCCGGCCGUUGAAACUGGGUGCCUUGAGUGGGCGAGAAGUAGGCGGAAUGCGUGGUGUAGCGGUGAAAUGCAUAGAUAUCACGCAGAACCCCGAUUGCGAAGGCAGCCUUCCGGCGCCCUACUGACGCUGAGGCACGAAAGUGCGGGGAUCGAACAGGAUUAGAUACCCGGGUAGUC
rnacentral:rRNA from 1 species